rnacentral:rRNA from 1 species
GGACUACUCGGGUAUCUAAUCCUGUUUGCUCCCCACGCUUUCGCACCUCAGCGUCAGUAUCGGCCCAGGUCUCCGCCUUCGCCACUGGUGUUCCUCCCGAUAUCUACGAAUUUCACCUCUACACCGGGAAUUCCGAGACCCUCUUCCGUACUCCAGCCUGUCAGUUUCGAGUGCCCUUCCGGGGUUGAGCCCCGGGCUUUCACACCCGACUUAACAGACCGCCUACGUGCGCUUUACGCCCAAUGAUUCCGAGCAACGUUUGCACCCUCCGUAUUACCGCGGCGGCUGGCAC